CCUGGAAGCUGGGCAGAAGCCUUGGGGCAAAGUCACAAUCAGAGAUCGUUUUCUUCAGCUCUGCAAGAGAACCAAGAUUCUCAAAGAGAAUAAGGAUUCUCAAGGUGGAGAAGCAGAAGCAGAGGGGCCUGGGCUCCAAGUUGUCACAUUCUUUUCAGCAGGGCCACUGGGUUUCCGUGAAAGAGAUGGGCAACGGGCAGUAGAGAGCAGCACCAUGGCUCCAAGCUGAAGGGGACAGUCCUAGAGGAGAAUGCCUGCCAAGAACUCCUCCUCCGUGACAGCGUUUAUCCUCUCAGGCUUAACCGACCAGCCGGGACUCCAGAUCCCCGCCUUCUUCCUGUUUCUAGGUUUCUACGCGGUCACGGUGGUGGGGAACCUGGGCUUGAUAAUCCUGAUAGGGCUCAACUCUCGCCUGCAUAUCCCCAUGUACUUUUUCCCCUUCAACUUGUCCUUCAUAGAUUUUAGUUAUUCCACUACCCUCGCCCCUAAAAUGCUGAUGAGCUUUGUCUCAGAGAACAUCAUUUCCUAUGCAGGGUGUAUGACUCAGCUUUUUUUCUUCUGUUUCUUUGUCUUUUCUGAAUCCUAUAUUCUAUCAGCGAUGGCGUAUGACCGCUACGUGGGCAUCUGUAACCCACUGUUGUACACGGUCACCAUGUCUCCCCAGAUGUGUUUGCUCCUUUUACUGGGUGUCUAUGGGAUGGGGAUUUUGGGGCUGUGGCUCAUAUGGGAAACAUAAUGUUUAUGUCCUUUUGUGGAGACAACCUUGUCAAUCACUAUAUGUGUGACAUCCUUCCUCUCCUUGAGCUCUCCUGCAACAGCUCUUACAUAAAUUUGCUGGUGGUUUUUAUUAUUGUGACCGUUGGCAUUGGGGUGCCGAUUGUCACCAUUUUUCUCUCUUAUGGUUUUAUUCUUUCCAGCAUUCUCCACAUUAGUUCCACAGAGGGCAGGUCUAAAGCCUUCAGUACCUGCAGUUCCCACAUAAUUGUGGUAUCGCUUUUCUUUGGGUCAGGUGCUUUCAUGUACCUCAAACCACCUUCUAUUCUACCCCUGGACCAGGGGAAAGUGUCCUCCAUUUUUUGUACUGCUGUGGUGCCCAUGUUUAACCCAUUAAUCUACAGCCUGAGGAAUAAAGAUGUCAAAGUUGCCCUGAGGAGAACCUUUUGCAGAAAAUUAGUCUCUUAAAAAUGAAUGAGAAAGGGAAUCCAAACCUUUGUUAAUCAGGGGGUUUCUUUUCUUUUUUUCAGUGAGGGAACAAAUGCCACUGCUUUCUCUCCUAUACUUAGAGAAAAAUUUUAAAUGUAUUCUUAAGUGCACUUACACCCUGCACUGCUUAUCCACACCAACUAUUCCAAUUGUUAUUUUAUGAGAAUAGUUUCUACUGUUAUACAGGGUUUAAUCUUGAAUAGGCUUAUGAAAUCAUUUACUCCAGUCUCCUCAUGCAAUACAUCACACUCAAAAAUAUUUUGUAGGCUGCCAAAGGACACACAUGUACCUGAUGCCAGAGCUGAAACUAGAGUCCAGGCUCUUGAAUUUUAAUACAAUCUGCUGUGUUUUUCUUCAGCUACACUUCCUUGUUCCAUCGUUUCCCUGACUGAUUUCAUUUAAAAUUUUUUUUUUUGCAUUUAAAGAUAUCUAAUUAUAUUCAUAGUGAUGUCAUGCAACUUUUCAAAGGUUAAUUUUUGGAAUAACAUUUUUGCAAGAGUGUUGGAAGUGAAAAAUGUGGUUGAUGUGGUCUUGACAAAAAGAUAAGAGAAAAUUUUAAAGAAUUUUGGGGUGUGUGAGUGAGAAGUAGAUUAGGUUCCUUAUAGAAUCAAGGAUGGUGCCCAUGGAGAUGGUAUAGAGCCUUGAGUGAAGGCUUACAAUAGAAGGCCUUCUAAGGGAGAGAUAAACAGAGUUGAGGGAGUUAAAUUUGUUAGAUACAAGCUUUAUUCUUCAUCUGAAGAUUAACGGAGACAGAAUUUGGAGCCUCACCUCAAAGGUCUGAAUAAUGUAAAUUAGUAAUAGACAGCUCUGGAUAAGUGAGCCAUUAGAACCACGGCAGCCAACUAGUUGUUAGGGGAGGCAAUUGCCAUUAUAUAGUUAAGACAUUGCAUAUAUCUGUGACCUUCUAUUAAUAACAAUAGGGCAUAAAGGGAAGGGACGGUGGUCUUAGGAGAGGUCAUAUAUUCACAGCAUUGGGUAAGUGGAAGUACAACUUUGUAUAACGAAUGAGAGUAAUUUUUUUGAUCUGAAUACAUUAGUAAUGGUAACAAUUAUUUCAGAAGUCAUGGCAUAUGAACUGUCUGGAAGAUAGUUUAAUUUACAAACUUUGAAAAGUUAUCUUCUAUUAGAAAAAGGGGAAGUUCGGAUUAAUGUUUAGCUUUCUUCCUUUGGAAUCUUUUGGUUUAACGAGGAUAGAAUUCAGGAAAUGAAAGUGUAGGGGAGGGUUGUGUUUUGAUGCUAAGGGAGAUGAAUGAUGAUGAAAUUCAAGACACAUGGAUUGAGGGUGCACUGGGAAUGGUGGAGAAUCAGUACAAUGAAAACACCCUACUCCUUCUUAAAUUGAAAUAUAAAUUUUACAGUGAAGUGCACAAACAUUAACUGCUCGAUGAUUUUUUUUCACAUUUAUAAGGCUAUGAUUACUUACCUCCACCCAAAUGAAAAUAUAGCAGAUUUUUUAUCAUUUCAGGGUACUCCUGCCUGCCCUUUCCCAGUAAUUACUACUCCCCAUGCUCUUCCUGGAAAUAUUCACUAUUCUUACUUUAUCAUCACAGUUUCAUUUUUCUCGUGCUUGAACUUCAUAUAAAUGUUAAAUAGUGCAUUUACUUUCUUACGUUUCACUUAACAUAGAGAGUCAUGUGAGAUUCAUCCAUAACAGUUUUCUUGGUUAUUGCUGUUUAUUUUAGUAUUCCAUUGUAAGAAUGUAGAGCAAUUUGCUUAUCAAUAUCUUCUUUAUGGACAUUUGCCUUGUUUUCAAUUUCUACAUGUUAUUAAUAAAGCUGUUAUAAACAUUCCUUUUUUUUUUUUUUUGAGACAUAGUCUCGCACUGUUGCCCAGGCUGGAGUGCAAUGGCACGAUCUCGGCUCACUGCAACCUCCACUUCCCGGGUUCAAAUCAUUCUCCUGCCUCAGCCUCCAAAGUAGGUGGGAUUACAGGCACCCACCACCACACACAGCCAAUUUGUGUAUUUUUAGUAGAGACAGGGUUUCACCAUGUUGCCCAGGCUGGCCUCCAACUUCUGACCUCGUGAUCUGUCUGCUUCGGCCUCCCAAAGUGCUGGGAUUACAGGCAUAAGCCACCAUGCCUGGCCUAUAAACAUUCUUGAACAUGUAUUUUGCUGGAAAUAUACACUUAUUUUUGUUUGGGUAUAUACCUAGAUGUAGAUUUUAUGGGUCACAAGGUAGGCAUAUGUUUAGGCUUCUAAAUGCUAUCAAAUUGUCUUCCAAAAUAUUUAAACUGAUUUGCACUCCCAUCAAUAAAUUCCAGAAAAGGAUACUCUUCAUCCUUAUUUUCAGUAUUUUUCAUUUUAAUUACUCCGUUGGGUGUGUAGUACAGUAUUGCUUUAGUCUUUUAGAUAUUUCCCUGAUAAAUAAUGAUUUUUUUUUUUUUGACGGAGUCUUGCUCUGUCGCCUAGGCUGGAGUGCAGUGGCAUGAUCUCGGCUCACAGCAACCUUCACCUUCCAGGUUCAAGCAAUUCUCCUGCCUUAGCCUCCCGAGUAGCUGGGGUAACAGGAGCCUGCCACCACACCUGGCUAAUUUUUGUAGUUUUACUAGAGACGGGGUUUCACUAUGUUGGCCAGGCUGGCCUCGAACUCCUGACCUUUUCUUAACAGACAAAGUCUUGCUCUGUUGUCAGGCUGGAGUGCGAUGGUGUGAUCAUGGCUCACUGGAGCUUUGAACUCCUGGGCUCAAGCUAUCUUCCUGUCUCAGCCUGCUGAGCAACUGGAACUAUAGGUACAUGCCACCACACCUGGCCACUUUUUCUAUUUUUUGUAGAGAUGAGGUCUCACUAUGUUACCCAGGCUGUUACCAAAUACCUGGGCUCAAGUGAUCCUCUCAUCUUGGCCUCCCAAAGUGUUGGGAUUACAGGUGUGAGCCACCACACCCAGCCUUGUUGGGCACUUUUUAUAUGUUCAUUAGCUAUUUGGACAUCACCAUUUGUGAAGUGCCUGUUCAAGUCAUUUGGCUACUUAAAAAUAGUGUUGUUGCUGGGCACGGUGGCUCACACCUGUAAUCCCAGCACUUUGGGAGGCCAAGAUAGGCGGAUCAAGAGGUCAGGAGAUCGAGACCAUCCUGGCUAAUAUGAUGAAACCCCGUCUCUACUAAAAAUACAAAAAAAUUAGCCUGGUGUGGUGGUGGGCACCUGUAGUCCCAGCUACUUGGGAGGCUGAGGCAGGAGAAUGGCAUGAACCCAGAAGGCGGAGGUUGCAGUGAGCCGAGAUCGCGCCACUGCACUCCAGCCUGGGCGACAGAGUGAGACUCCAUCUCAAAAAAAAAAAAAAAAAGUGUUGUUAUUCUUUUUUCUUAUUGAUUAGUUUUUUAAAACGUAUAAUCUGGAUAUGAGUACUUUUUCAGACACACACAUUGCAGUUAUCUUUACUCAGUCUCUGGCUUGCCCCAUGACUACUCAUUAAUUAUGUCCUUUGAUAAUGAUAUUUCAAUUUCAAUUUGAAUAAAGUUCAUUUGUCCACUUCUUUUACUGUUCAUGCUUUCUUCUGUUUAAUUUUUUUCCUACUACAUAGUCACAAAGUCAUUCUCAGGUUUUCCUUUGAAAGCUUCAUGAUUUUUCCUUUAAAAUUUAGAUUUUAGAUCAAUUUUAAAUCAGUUAUCAUGUAUGGUGUGCAGUUGUUUUAUUUCUUUCAUAAAGAUAUUAAGUUGCAUCAGCAUCAUUUAUUGAAAAGACCUUCUCUCCUCCCUGAAUUGUAUUGGCUAUAUUUGUACGUGUGUAUUUGAAGAUCAAGUGACAAUAAUUUAGUGGGACUAAUUUGAGAGAAGUUGACAUGGAGCCAAAGUGCUGUAUUCUCCCAUUACAAUGGUGAAUAGUAAUGAGGAAAACAGACAUGCUUUUCUUGUUUCGAAGUGGAAUUUCAUACCUUUCAUACCUUUUACUUUAUUUUAAAUAACUUUUUAAAAUUUAAUUUUCAAUUAUUAGUAGUAUGUAGUAGCACAGUUGUUUUUUGUAUACUGAAUUUGUAUCUAGCAUCUUUGUUAUUUCACUUAUGAAAUCUAAUUGUUAG
ensembl:lncRNA novel transcript